rnacentral:rRNA from 1 species
CAAUAGCGUAUAUUAAAGUUGUUGCAGUUAAAAAGCUCGUAGUUGGAUUUCUGGUGGGGGCCGCUGGUCCGCUGCGAAAGCGGCGUGUACCGAUGCGUGCCUACCGCCAUCCUCGGGUGGAGUGCGUGUGGGAUUAAUUUCUCGUGCGUAGGAUGCCCGUCGUUUACUGUGAAAAAAUUAGAGUGUUCAAAGCAGGCUUUGGCCGUCGAAUACAUUAGCAUGGAAUAAUAAGAUAGGACUUGGCUCUAUUUUGUUGGUUUGUACGCCAAGUAAUGAUUAAUAGGGAUAGUUGGGGGUAUUCGUAUUCAAUUGUCAGAGGUGAAAUUCUUAGAUUUAUGGAAGACGAACUACUGCGAAAGCAUUUACCAAGGAUGUUUUCAUUAA